UACGGAGGGGGCUAGCGUUGUUCGGAAUUACUGGGCGUAAAGCGCGCGUAGGCGGACCUGCAAGUCGGGGGUGAAAGCCCGGGGCUUAACCUGGGAACUGCGUUUGAUACUGGGGGGCUCGAGGCUGGGAGAGGAGAGUGGAAUUCCCAGUGUAGAGGUGAAAUUCGUAGAUAUUGGGAAGAACACCGGUGGCGAAGGCGGCUCUCUGGUCCACAACUGACGCUGAGGCGCGAAAGCGUGGGGAGCAAACAGG
rnacentral:rRNA from 1 species